rnacentral:snRNA from 8 species
AUCGAUUCUCGGCCUUUUGGCUCAGAUCAAGUGUAGUAUCUGUUCUUAUCAGUUUAAUAUCUGAUACGUCCCCCAUCGGGGGACUACAUAUUAAAUGGAUUUUUCGAACAGGGAGUCGGAAAUGGGGCUUGCUCCGUCCGCUCCACGCAUCGACCCGGUAUUGCAGUACCUCCGGGAAUGGUGCAACACUU